GGGAAUUGGAUAUUAAUCAACUUCAAUUUGAUCGUGUCUUGUGUGAUGUUCCAUGCAGUGGCGAUGGCACUCUGCGCAAGGCUCCUGAUAUAUGGAGGAAAUGGAAUGCUGGAAAUGGUAACGGUCUCCAUGGGCUACAGAUUCAGAUAGCAAUGCGAGGAUUGUCUUUGCUUAAAGUAGGUGGAAGGAUGGUUUAUUCGACUUGCUCAAUGAAUCCCAUAGAGAAUGAGGCCGUGGUUGCUGAGAUCUUACGGAGAUGUGGGGAGUCCGUUGAACUUGUUGACGUGUCUAGUGAGGUUCCACAACUUAUUCGCAGACCAGGUCUUAAAAAAUGGAAGGUUCGAGAUAAAGGAGCGUGGUGGACUUCUUAUAAAGAUGUUCCUGAGGGUCGUAGAAAUGCAAUUGUUCCAGGAAUGUUCCCCUCUGGCAAAACCUAUCUGGAUGUAUCUGAGAAGAAUGAUGAUGCAACUAGAGACCAAUUGUCUGAUAAUGGAAAUAAUGCUAAUGGCAUUGAGGUGUUGGAAGAUCCAGCAACUGCAGCUACGAUCUCGGAUAAAGAAGUUUCAACUCUACCUCUGGAACGUUGUAUGAGGAUAGUGCCGCAUGAUCAGAAUAGUGGAGCCUUCUUUGUUUCCGUAUUUCAAAA
rnacentral:misc_RNA from 1 species